AAUCUAGAUAGUUUAUUUGUAGAAUAAUAAUUUGUGGUGUUAUAGGUGUGUUUAUUAUACUCUAGAU
rnacentral:tRNA from 1 species